CCGGCCGUCGCAACAGCAGUCACCGUCUGAUUUUUAAGUUGAGGGCAAUCUCUGGCUAGAUGCCCAAACUCCUCACACCGAUAACACCUGAUUUUGCUCAAGUCUCUCCUGGACUUGGACCGCCCUCGUUAUGAUCUCCUGUCGCUCCGUCUACCGCCUCCUACUCCUUCAGAAACCACCAAAGCUGAGCUAUCGCCACCUGAGCUCGAAGCUGGAUUCUCUCUCCUGAGAACCUCGUUCUGGAGUAUCGCUGCGGUGACCUCAUC
rnacentral:lncRNA from 1 species